AAUUUUUUUCAUACUCAGUUUUAACUACUGCAUUUGAUGUGUGUGUCAAGUCGGAAUGCCUACUUUAUUACCAUCUAAAGUUAUUGAAAUAACAGUAACAAGAUACAGAAUAUCUGGUUUUUCUUCACUGUGCCAGACUUUCAGUGGGUCACCAGUUUACAUACACUUCUUUAAACUGCCAACACACACACACACACACACAACUCGACAAAAUCUGUUUUUUAACUCAUAAAAAAUGCUUAAUAACUUAAGCAUAAAUGUGAAUGAGUCAAAACACUACUUAAAUGAGGGUACCCUCAAAUCAUGAAGUCACUUUUCCUAAAACACAAAAUUUAUGGCAUAUUAAUUAGCUUCUAGCUUACUCAGUAAUCUUGGGAUUUUAGCAUAAAAUAUACUGAACAAAAGCUCAUUAUGUGCAUAAUUCCCCAAAACAAGUUUUUGUGGCAUUCCAGUCAAAACAGACUUUUCAUUCUUUAAAAUAAUAGAAGCGGGUUUUUAAAAAAAAUAACUGUCUUCCAUAAUAAGCAAAUAAUAAAUAAAUAAUAAACUAAUUGUAGCCCAAAAUUUUCAAUGCUAUCAUUCAAAUUUAUGUUAGAAAAAAAUUAUUUUGUUGAGCUGGGGGGCGGGGGGUUCCACAAGGGACCCACUUCUGGCCCAUGGCCUAGAAUAGAUUAACAUUCCACUUCUGAAUCAGUAAAUUACAUAAUUCAGUCCCUGAAGAACCAAUGCCUUGUUGCAUUAAGAGAGGGACUCCAAAACUAAAAUAAUUUCCAUCUUGCAACUAUUAUUUUAAAAAAUUUUACAUGGAAACAAAGUAGACAUUCAGGCAAUGUCCGAUUUUCAAAACGCAUGACUAUUCAAGAACAUCCAGAAACUGAGUUACAUGCAAAACCUUCCGAAAAAUAUGAAAUGGCAUAAUUCUGAGUUAAAUGGGGAAAGGGUGGCUGCAUUUCAAGUACACCUGAAGAAUCUCGACGUACUGUUGCAUCUAAGAGCAGGAAGAUUCCAGAGGAAAAUUUUGGCUCUUAAGUCACAUUCCUUCUUUGGAGCCAUCCUAAAAAUAUCCAUGGUACUACAAGCAACUGUACACACUGGGACCACGGUCCCAAGCUUUUUAAGAUUUGGGCUUCUUUCCUCAGUGAAAUGAGUCUGCAUGCAUACAGACUCAUAUCAUUGAGGGGAAAAAAGCCCAAAUUAACAUCCAGGAAAUAAACUUUUGGUCUAAAGGUUUAAACAGAACCGCAGAGUGACAUUGUCCACCUUUAACAGAGCACUUUAUCACCGCAACACCCACCCAAAAAAUUAAAAUAAAAUCUGUCGACAUGAUCAACUGUAAACUUUCUUCAAACUAAUCAUGUACAUUUUCGACCCAUCUGACACUCAUGCAGUGGGUUCGGCGACAGAUGAUAUUCAGCACACAUUUUUUUUUGAGUCUGAUCCAGAACAUGUUUGCUUCCGUUGCCUCACCUAAAAUGUUAAACCCAUUAUAAGGGAACUAUUCAAACUGGGCUAAUUCAGUGAUUUAUUGAGACAAUUUAUGGUGCAGGUAUUUCAGGGCAGAUACAUAGACCAAUGCACACUAAUAGAAUCCUCUGCCUGUUGACUUAAGAGCAUGGUUGCAUAAAUUUCAGUAAAAUUCCCCCACGCUACAUGGAGAAAGUCUAGUCAGAAUUUUGCCCAGGCCCGUCUGUUAGUGGCAGUCAGUGGAAUUAGCCAUUAUUACUCCAGCAGAGGUAUGAACUCAGAAUGACCUUCAAGUCUUUAUAAUAACACACUGCAAUGCUGACAUGGGUGACCCUCUGCAAUCUGCAUUGCUAUAAAAACCUGAUGUAUAUGAAUGUAGUGGACAAGUCCACUAGCACAAUUACAGCAACCAAAAUUCAUGGAUAUAAAAAAACGUGUGACAAGCUGUACAUUAUUGGGUGACCUUUGCAGACAAGAACCUCUACAUAAAUGCACCAUGAGUUACUAUACAGUACCUGGUACAGCCACAAGAGAGAAGCAAAACACAAAUACAAGUGCUCUCCAUCACAAGGUUAGAGGCUCUUUGAAUGAGCAGUUUGAGUUUUUAUUUCACUGCAAUCUGCUGAUCAUUUGAGUUCCUCUGCCAAUACCCAAUCAGUGAAACAACUGCUGUUAACUACAAACCAAUGUCUUUUGCCAAUGCCCCCACCCCACCCCCUCCAAAACAAACAAACAAAAAAGUAUAAACUCCAUGUGCUCAUUCAUGGGGGCUUUACAAUAUAUGUAAAUCAAAACUGAAUUAUUUUCUUGAUGGAAAGAUCAGUGUCCAUCCCAUCAAUGACAAGUGUCUCCUACCCCAUAAGCACAGGGGUGGGCAACUUGUUCCAUAAAGGGCCAAGAGGGUGCAGGUUUUCUUUGCAGCCACUAAUUCCACCAGGUGAUUUCACUGAUUAAUAUCACUUUGAGCAGAUGGAAUCAGUUAAUCAGUGAAAUCACCGGUGGAGUCAGUGGCUGCAAAGAAAACCUGCACCCUCUUGGCCCUUUCUGGAUCAUGUUGCCCACUCCUGCCAUAGCAGCUACAUCAACACAGUGAUUCACAUGAUUCCAUUCAAAUUCAUGAUGCAAAAACUAUGACAAACAUUCUGUCCUGAUUAAAUUGGAAGUUGAAAAGACUUGACAGAUAGCACCAGGGGGAUAAUGUUCAAAUAAUCAUUUGGAGAUAAUAUAGACAUUUUUGGUAAGAAAAAUGUCAGUAGGUUAAAAAAGACAAAAACAAAAAACCCUUAAAUCAGCAGAGUGGUCGACCUGGGAGGUGCAUUUCUUUGGCUCAUCUAAUGUAGAAUAGCGUCACUAACAUUCAAAUAACAGUACAGCUGCAGAAAAACACUUUAAAAUGGGCAAUACAACAUAAUCAUUUAAACCCAGUCAAAAUUGUUUUCAGGUCUUCAAGUGAAGUAAAUCAUGUCAGGAUGAUAAAUUUUUCACCCUGUUAAACCAAAAAUCUUUCACAAAGUGACUCUAAAGUACUUUGUCAGAAGUUUAACAUCCAAUAAAUAUGCAUUGGCAGUAUGAUUGAAAUGGUUUUUGUUGUUAAAAAGAAA